rnacentral:tRNA from 1 species
GCGUGCUUAGCUCAGUUGGUUAGAGCGGCCGAUACGACGGUGUCGGAGGGUCUGCGGUUCGAAUCCAAAACGCGCU